UGACCCUACGGGGCGCAGCAGUGAGGAAUAUUGGUCAAUGGCCAGAAGGCUGAACCAGCCAAGCCGCGUGAAGGACGAAGGUGCCAAGCAUUGUAAACUUCUUUUGUCAAGGGACAAAAUCAGGCUCGAGAGCCUGACCGAGGGUACUUGAAGAAAAAGCAUCGGCUAACUCCGUGCCAGCAGCCGCGGUAAUACGGAGGAUGCGUGCGUUAUCAGGAUUUAUUGGGUUUAAAGUGUGCGUAGGCGGACUGUUAAGUCA
rnacentral:rRNA from 1 species